rnacentral:rRNA from 1 species
AUUGAACGCUGGCGGCAGGCCUAACACAUGCAAGUCGAACGAGUGGCGGACGGGUGAGUCAUGUCUGGGAAACUGCCAGAUGGAGGGGGAUAACUACUGGAAACGGUAGCUAAUACCGCAUACCAUCGGAUGUGCCCAGAUGGGAUUAGCUAGUAGGUGGGGUAAAGGCUCACCGAGGCCACGAUCCAUAGCGGGUCUGAGAGGGUGACCUGCCAGACUGGAACUGAGCCACGGUCCAGACUCCUACGUGAGGCAGCAGUGGGGAAUAUUGCGCAAUGGGCGAAAGCCUGACGCAGCCAUGCCGCGUGUGUGAAGAAGGCCUUCGGGUUGUAAAGUACGUUCAGCGGGGAGGCGUUACCCGCACAAGAAGCACCGGCUAACUCCGUGCCAGCAGCCGCGGUAAUAC